AAGGCCCAUAGCACACGGCGUUUUUUAAACGCGCUGACGACGCGCAGAGAACGCGCGUAUACACGAUUCAAACGAGAUUGGAUCGCAACCUUGUAACUUAAGCACACGGGGCGAUUAUAAAACCUGCCUCUUCUGCGCGUAUACGCGCAGGUACAGCGGUAAGACGCGCUGUAGUCGCUCGUACCUUUUGCGUUUUGAUCAGAGACUCCUCUUCUUCAGUUGUACAAUGGCGUCGGUUGAGACAACACUGCUUACUUUGGCUUUAGUACUUCUUUUAAAAAGUAAAAAACGUAAAAAAAAGCGAAUUUAUUGGAUAGAUCCAUUUACGAGUGAAAAAAGAUUGAGUGGUCAUUAUCAUACAACUUUUAAAAAAUUGGUAAUACAUAGAAGAUGGAAGAAAUUUUAUAAUUGUUAUCGAAUGUCAUAUUCGUCAUUCCAAGAACUUCUUUUGAUUCUAAAACCUGAGUUAACUCGUCAAAAUACAGCAAUGAGAUCAUGUAUAUCGGCAGAAGAACGUUUGCUCAUCACAUUGAGGUAUUUAGCUACGGGUUGCUAUUUCUCAGAUAUUCACUAUGACUUUAAGUGUGGACAAACGACGGCAGGCAUCAUAGUCCGUGAAACAGUGAAAAUAAUAUGGGAUAAAUUAAAAAACAUCUGUAUGCCAGAACCAACCGAGGAAUCACAUCUAAAAACUGCUGAAGGAUUUAUGAAAUACGCAAAUUUUCCCAAUCUACUUGGGGCUAUCGAUGGGAAACAUAUCAGAGUUAUAAAACCUCAACAUAGUGGAUCAGAGUAUUUUAAUUAUAAAAAAUAUUUUUCCAUCGUAUUGCUUGCAAUAUGUGACGCAAAUUACAGAUUUAUCGAUAUAGAUGUCGGAUGCUAUGGAAAGGCUGCAGACUCAACAAUAAAUGAAUGUAGUGAAUGGACCAAAAAGAUAAGGCAAGGAAAUUAUAAUAUACCAAAUGCGAGACCAAUAUCUAAUAAUGGAGUGCCAAUACCAUUUACGUUUGUUGGAGAUGAAGGCUUUGCAUUAUCUCAACAUUUACAGAGACCUUACGCUGGAAAAAUCUUGCCACGAGAGAAAAGAAUAUAUAAUUACCGCUUGACACGUGCCAGACGAUACAUUGAAUGUACAUUUGGUAUAUUAAGCAACAAAUUUAAAAUCUUUAAUCGGCCACUGAACGUUAGCGUGGACUUCAGUGUGGCUAUUGUGAAAGCCUGUUGUGUACUGCAUAAUUUCAUACGUGAACGUGACGGUUAUAAUUUUCAUAAUUCUUUGAGUAUAGUUGGUUUAGAAGAUCCUCCUGAAGAUGCAAGUUUGAUUUCGAUUGGUGCAAGACGGUCACAGGGACAAUUAAGCGGAACUAUGAUACGAAAUAUGUACGCUGAUUAUUUUAUUAGUGAUGAAGGUGCAGUACCAUGGCAAGAUUCUAAAA